rnacentral:rRNA from 1 species
GACGAACGCUGGCGGCGUGCUUAACACAUGCAAGUCGAGCGGUAAGGCCCUUUCGGGGGUACACGAGCGGCGAACGGGUGAGUAACACGUGGGUGACCUGCCCUCAGCUCUGGGAUAAGCCUGGGAAACCGGGUCUAAUACUGGAUAUGACUCCAUGACGCAUGUUGUGGGGUGGAAAGCCUUGUGCGGCUGAGGAUGGGCCCGCGGCCUAUCAGCUUGUUGGUGGGGUGANGGCCUACCAAGGCGACGACGGGUAGCCGGCCUGAGAGGGCGACCGGCCACACUGGGACUGAGACACGGCCCAGACUCCUACGGGAGGCAGCAGGUGGGGAAUCUUGCGCAAUGGGACGAAAGCCUGACGCAGCGACGCCGCGUGAGGGAUGACGGCCU